rnacentral:rRNA from 1 species
GAUGAACGCUAGCGGCAGGCUUAAUACAUGCAAGUCGAGGGGCAGCAUGAAGUAGCAAUACUUUGAUGGCGACCGGCAAACGGGUGCGGAACACGUACACAACCUCCCUUUAAGUGGGGAAUAGCCCAGAGAAAUUUGGAUUAAUACCCCGUAACACAACGAAGUGGCAUCACUUUGUUGUUAUAGUUUCGACGCUUAAUGAUGGGUGUGCGUAUGAUUAGAUAGUUGGCGAGGUAACGGCUCACCAAGUCUACGAUCAUUAGCUGAUGUGAAAGCAGUACCAGCAACACGGGCGAUGAGACACGGGCCCGACUCCUACGGGCGGCAGCAGUAAGGAAUAUUGGUAGAUGGACGAAAGUCUGAACCAGCCAUGCCGCGUGAAGGAUUAAGGUCCUCUGGAUUGUAAACUUCUUUUAUAUGGGACGAAAAAAGGUCUUUCUAGACCCCUUGACGGUACCAUAUGAAUAAGCACCGGCUAACUCCGUGCCAGCCGCCGCCGUAACAC